rnacentral:rRNA from 1 species
GAUCCUGGCUCGGGAUGAACGCUGGCGGCGUGCCUAAUACAUGCAAGUCGAACGCUGGAAAUCUAGCUUGCUAGAUUGAAGGAGUGGCGAACGGGUGAGUAAUACAUAAGCAACCUACCCACGAAGACUGGGAUAAUCUCUGGAAACGGGGACUAAUACCGGAUAGGUAAUCGGAAGGCAUCUUCUGAUUAUUAAAGGUUAAAAACACUGGUGGAUGGGCUUAUGGCGCAUUAGUUAGUUGGUGAGGUAACGG